CUAAGGAAAAUAUCAUCUUCAGUUGUGAAAGACUUAAAGAAAAGUUUUUUCAUCUUUUUUGACCGUUUACAACCCAUAAAGGGGGCCUAUAGCUCAGUUGGUUAGAGCACACGCCUGAUAAGCGUGAGGUCGAUGGUUCAAGUCCAUUUAGGCCCACCAUGAUUGUUGAUUGUCAAAACAGAUUAGCUCUUUGAAAAGUAGAUAAAUAAAAGGUUAAAAGA
rnacentral:tRNA from 1 species